GGUUCAUUCAAAUUUCUUCCCUAUCAACUUUCGAUGUUUGGGUAUUGGCCAAACAUGGUUGCAACGGGUAACGGAGGGUUAGGGCUCGACCCCGGAGAAGGAGCCUGAGAAACGGCUACUACAUCCAAGGAAGGCAGCAGGCGCGCAAAUUACCCAAUCCCGACCGGGGAGGUAGUGACAAUAAAUACUGAUACAGGGCUCUUUUGGGUCUUGUAAUUGGAAUGAGUACAAUUUAAAUCCCUUAACGAGGAACAAUUGGAGGGCAAGUCUGGUGCCAGCAGCCGCGGUAAUUCCAGCUCCAAUAGCGUAUAUUAAAGUUGUUGCCGUUAAAAAGCUCGUAGUUG
rnacentral:rRNA from 1 species